rnacentral:rRNA from 1 species
UCACAACUGACGCUGAAGCUCGAAGGCGCGGGUAUCGAACAGGAUUAGAUACCCUGGUAGUCCGCGCGGUAAACGAUGGAUGCUCGCUGUUGGGCUUUAUGUUCAGCGGCCAAGCGAAAGCGUUAAGCAUCCCACCUGGGGAGUACGCCGGCAACGGUGAAACUCAAAGGAAUUGACGGGGGCCCGCACAAGCGGAGGAACAUGUGGUUUAAUUCGAUGAUACGCGAGGAACCUUACCCGGGCUUGAACUGCAGCGGAAGGAUACAGAGAUGUUGACGUCCUUCGGGACCGCUGUGGAGGUGCUGCAUGGUUGUCGUCAGCUCGUGCCGUGAGGUGUCGGCUUAAGUGCCAUAACGAGCGCAACCCUUUUCAUUAGUUGCCAUCAGGUCAUGCUGGGCACUCUGAUGAUACUGCCACCGUAAGGUGUGAGGAAGGUGGGGAUGACGUCAAAUCAGCACGGCCCUUACGUCCGGGGCUACACACGUGUUACAAUGGGUGGUACAGAGAGUCGGUCGUCUGCAAAUGCGAUCCAAUCCUUAAAGCCAUCCUCAGUUCGGAUUGGGGUCUGCAACCCGACCCCAUGAAGCUGGAUUCGCUAGU